AGUCGAGGGGCAGCAUUUCAGUUUGCUUGCNAACUGGAAGAUGGCGACCGGCGCACGGGUGAGUAACACGCUAUCCAACCUGCCGAUAACUCGGGGAUAGCCUUUCGAAAGAAAGAUUAAUACCCGAUGGUAUAAUCAGACCGCAUGGUCUUGUUAUUAAAGAAUUUCGGUUAUCGAUGGGGAUGCGUUCCAUUAGGCAGUUGGUGAGGUAACGGCUCACCAAACCUUCGAUGGAUAGGGGUUCUGAGAGGAAGGUCCCCCACAUUGGAACUGAGACACGGUCCAAACUCNUACGGGAGGCAGCAGUGAGGAAUAUUGGUCAAUGGGCGCAGGCCUGAACCAGCCAAGUAGCGUGAAGGAUGACUGCCCUAUGGGUUGUAAACUUCUUUUAUAUGGGAAUAAAGUUUUCCACGUGUGGAAUUUUGUAUGUACCAUAUGAAUAAGGAUCGGCUAACUCCGUGCCAGCAGCCGCGGUAAUACGGAGGAUCCGAGCGUUAUCCGGAUUUAUUGGGUUUAAAGGGAGCGUAGGUGGACAGUUAAGUCAGUUGUGAAAGUUUGCGGCUCAACCGUAAAAUUGCAGUUGAUACUGGCUGUCUUGAGUACAGUAGAGGUGGGCGGAAUUCGUGGUGUAGCGGUGAAAUGCUUAGAUAUCACGAAGAACUCCGAUUGCGAAGGCAGCUCACUGGACUGCAACUGACACUGAUGCUCGAAAGUGUGGGUAUCAAACAGGAUUAGAUACCCUGGUAGUCCACACAGUAAACGAUGAAUACUCGCUGUUUGCGAUAUACAGUAAGCGGCCAAGCGAAAGCAUUAAGUAUUCCACCUGGGGAGUACGCCGGCAACGGUGAAACUCAAAGGAAUUGACGGGGGCCCGCACAAGCGGAGGAACAUGUGGUUUAAUUCGAUGAUACGCGAGGAACCUUACCCGGGCUUAAAUUGCAUUUGAAUAUAUUGGAAACAGUAUAGCCGUAAGGCAAAUGUGAAGGUGCUGCAUGGUUGUCGUCAGCUCGUGCCGUGAGGUGUCGGCUUAAGUGCCAUAACGAGCGCAACCCUUAUCUUUAGUUACUAACAGGUCAUGCUGAGGACUCUAGAGAGACUGCCGUCGUAAGAUGUGAGGAAGGUGGGGAUGACGUCAAAUCAGCACGGCCCUUACGUCCGGGGCUACACACGUGUUACAAUGGGGGGUACAGAAGGCAGCUACCUGGUGACAGGAUGCUAAUCCCAAAAGCCUCUCUCAGUUCGGAUCGAAGUCUGCAACCCGACUUCGUGAAGCUGGAUUCGCUAGUAAUCGCGCAUCAGCCAUGGCGCGGUGAAUACGUUCCCGGGCCUUGUACACACCGCCCGUCAAGCCAUGAAAGCCGGGGGUACCUGAAGUACGUAACCGCAAGGAG
rnacentral:rRNA from 1 species